CGUGAACAAGAACCCCGGCAUCAUCUUUGGGGGCUCGCCUGGGAUAACUUCGGAGCCUGCUUCUUCAGGCCACCCUGUUAGGGGCCGUUCCUAACUCUCUCCUAAGUUCACCAAUUUCACGGAACCUGAUGCUGACCACCGCAAGAAGCCACAAAACUGCAAAUAGUAAUAGAAAUGGAACCAGGAAUAGAAGUGCC